UAUCAACUGCAACAAAAAUGGCAGUUUUAAUAGGGGUCCAUUGAAGUCCAGGUUAGUAAUCCCCCAGACUGGUUGAACUUUGGAAAAAUCCGAAAAGCUGGUGGGCAGGGAAGGCAGGAAGGAAGGGGUAAGGGAACGAAGGCAGCCACCCAGGCUUCACACCUGGAAACUCUGGUUUUGCUGGUUCGGGGUGGGGUCCUGGCAGGAGCCUGUGUGACUCUGACUGGCAGCCAGCUCUGAGAACCACAGGUCCGAGUCACUGGGUCUCACAUUGGCUGGCACGUUGGGAGCACUUGGAAAGUCAAAAAAAAGAAAAAAAAUGCUGAUACUUUUGUCCCAUUUUCAAAGAUUCUGAUUCACAGCGGGAGGCAGCCGGGGCAGCUGGCCUCUCGGUGUCCUGGGGCUGCUUCUCCGUGUCCCUUGCGGAUGGCGGAAAACAAACGUCUUUGGAGAAGAACCGAAGGAGACAGGUUAAAAGACUUAGUUAUUGGGCAGCCCCGGUGGCUCAACGGUUGAGCGUCUGCCUUCAGCACAGGGCGUGAUCCUGGAGACCUGGGAUGGAGUCCCGCAUCGGGCUCCCUGCAUGGAGCCUGCUUCUCCCCUGCCUGUCUCUGCCUCUCUCUCUCUCUGUGUCUCUCAUGAAUAAAUAAAUAAAAUCUGAAAAAAAAAAAGACUUAUUUGUGUGUGUGUGUGUGUGAGAGAGAGAGAGAGAGAAAGAGAGUUGGAGGAGGAGCAGAGGAAGAGAAUCUUCAAGGAGGCUACCCGCAGAGCACAGAGCCUGACCUGGGGCUCGAACUCACAACCUGUAAGGUCACAACCUGACCAGAAACCAAGAGUCAGAUAUUUAACAAAGAGAGCCACGCAGGUGCCCCAGGAUUCUCUGACAUUUAUGGAAAACCUGAGAUGUAUAAACUGUUAUGCUAAACACUAAGGGGAAUGCAAAGGAAAGUAAGGGUAGAGUAACAUUUGUCACACCUGUGUUCUUUGCAUCAAAUCAAUUUUAAUUUACACAUUAAACCAAUGAGGUAGGUGUUUGGCCUCCUACAUUAGGAAAUAAAGGCUCAGAGAUGUUAAGUAAUUUACUUGAGGCUACCCGGGGACUAAGUAGCAGAGCUCAGAUUUGAACCCACACCUUCCAACCCCACAGUCUAUAUUCUUUCUGGAG
rnacentral:lncRNA from 1 species